rnacentral:rRNA from 1 species
UACGAAGGGGGCGAGCGUUGUUCGGAAUUACUGGGCGUAAAGGGCGCGUAGGCGGCCCUCUUUGUCGCGUGUGAAAGCCCCGGGCUCAACCUGGGAACGGCGCGCGAAACGGGGGGGCUGGAGUUCGGGAGAGGAGCGUGGAAUUCCCAGUGUAGAGGUGAAAGUUCGUAGAUAUUGGGAAGAACACCGGGUGGCGAAGGCGGCGCUCUGGACCGAGA